rnacentral:ncRNA from 3 species
UAUUUCUACUAGGGGUGUCUGAUAGCUCAGACUGAGAGAAGAGCGCAAUAAAACUCUUUAACCCUUUGAACCUGAUUUGGGUUAUACCAGCGGAGGGAAGUAGUCUUGAAAAGAA